rnacentral:rRNA from 1 species
GACGAACGCUGGCGGCGUGCUUAACACAUGCAAGUCGAACGGAAAGGCCCUGCUUGCAGGGUGCUCGAGUGGCGAACGGGCGAGUAACACGUGGGUGAUCUGCCCCUUACUUUGGGAUAAGCCUGGGAAACUGGGUCUAAUACUGGAUAGGACCAUGCUGUAGGUGGUGUGGUGGAAAGAUUAGUUUCGGUAAGGGAUGAGCUCGCGGCCUAUCAGCUUGUUGGUGGGGUAAUGGCCUACCAAGGCGUCGACGGGUAGCCGGCCUGAGAGGGUGGACGGCCACAUUGGGACUGAGAUACAGCCCAGAGUCGUGCGGGAGGCAGAAGUGGGGAAUAUUGCACAAUGGGCGCGAGCCUGAUGCAGCGAGGCCGCGUGGGGGAUGACGGCUUUCGGGUUGUAAACUCCUUUCAGCCAUGACGAAGCCUUCGGGUGACGGUAGUGGUAGAAGAAGCACCGGCUAACUACGUG